GAUGAACGCUGGCGGCGUGCCUAAUACAUGCAAGUCGAGCGAACAGAUGAGGAGCUUGCUCCUCUGACGUUAGCGGCGGACGGGAGAGUAACACGUGGAUAACCUACCUAUAAGACUGGGAUAACUUCGGGAAACCGGAGCUAAUACCGGAUAAUAUAUUGAACCGCAUGGUUCAAUGGUGAAAGACGGUUUUGCGGUCACUUAUAGAUGGAUCCGAGCCGCAUUAGCUAGUUGGUAAGGUAACGGCUUACCAAGGCAACGAUGCGUAGCCGACGUGAGAGGGUGAUCGGCCACACUGGAACUGAGACACGGUCCAGACUCCUACGGGAGGCAGCAGUAGGGAAUCUUCCGCAAUGGGCGAAAGCCUGACGGAGCAACGCCGCGUGAGUGAUGAAGGUCUUCGGAUCGUAAAACUCUGUUAUUAGUGAAGAACAAAUGUGUAAGUAACUAUGCACGUCUUGACGGUACCUAAUCAGAAAGCCACGGCUAACUACGUG
rnacentral:rRNA from 1 species